GAAGACAGCUCAAAACACAGUGUUACCAAAUGGGCUAGUCCAAGGCCACGCCUACACCGUCACAGGGGUCAGGCAGAUGAAUAGCCGAGGGGAAACGGUGCAACUGGUGCGUUUGUGGAACCCCUGGGGCAAGAGAGAGUGGAACGGAGACUGGAGUGAUGAGUCUCCUCUGUGGAAGACUGUGAGUACCAAGGAACGAGAAAAGUGCCUUUCUAUCCGUGACGAUGGAGAGUUUUGGUGAGCUGGUUCAUUUCCAUGCUCAAUGCCUUCAAACACUUGCAGCACAAACCAUACAAAAUGUUGGAAAAAAAGAUUUUCUAAAUUAAAA